GGAUAACCUACCCUUAGGACUGGGAUAACCCUGGGAAACUGGGGCUAAUACCGGAUAGGCAAUUUUUCCUGGAAUGGUUUUUUGUUUAAAUGUUUUUUCGCCUAAGGAUGGGUCUGCGGCCGAUUAGGUAGUUGGUUAGGUAAUGGCUUACCAAGCCGUUGAUCGGUACGGGUUGUGAGAGCAAGAGCCCGGAGAUGGAACCUGAGACAAGGUUCCAGGCCCUACGGGGUGCAGCAGGCGCGAAACCUCCGCAAUGUGAGAAAUCGCGACGGGGGGAUCCCAAGUGCCAUUCUUAACGGGAUGGCUUUUCAUUAGUGUAAAGAGCUUUUGGAAUAAGAGCUGGGCAAGACCGGUGCCAGCCGCCGCGGUAACACCGGCAGCUCUAGUGGUAACAAUUUUUAUUGGGCCUAAAGCGUCCGUAGCCGGUUUAAUAAGUCUCUGGUGAAAUCCUGUAGCUUAACUGUGGGAAUUGCUGGAGAUACUAUUAGACUUGAGACCGGGAGAGGUUAGAGGUACUCCCAGGGUAGAGGUGAAAUUCUGUAAUCCUGGGAGGACCGCCUGUUGCGAAGGCGUCUAACUGGAACGGUUCUGACGGUGAGGGACGAAAGUUAGGGGCGCGAACCGGAUUAGAUACCCGGGUAGUCCUAACUGUAAACGAUGCGGACUUGGUGUUGGGGUGGCUUUGAGCUGC
rnacentral:rRNA from 1 species